AGGGUGUAAACGCUGCGGGCUUGGUGUUGGGGGUCCUUAGUGGGCGCCCAGUGCCGGAGAGAAGUUGUUAAGCCUGCUGCUUGGGGAGUAUGUCCGCAAGGAUGAACUUAAGGAUUGGCGGGGGAGCACCACAAGAGGUGGAGGCGGCGGUUCAAUUGGACUCAACGCCGGAAAACUCAUCGGGAGCGACAGCAGUAUGAUUGCCAGGUUGAUGACCUUGCUUGACAAGCUGAGAGGAGGUGCAUGGCGUAGUCGUG
rnacentral:rRNA from 1 species